ensembl:lncRNA
GUAACCCUCCUCCAAUUGUUCACUCGUUCUGGUGUUUCUACAACUGGAAUCCAUUUAUGCUUCUAAGAUACUUCUGUGUAACCAAGCUGCCUGGAUCAGCAAAGAACACAGCCUUUUUGGUUAUGCAACAGAGAAAGGGACCCUGCUUUGUAUCCUGCAAAGUGAGGUACAACAGCAAAGAACACAGACCCACUGAAUGAUAUCAGCUGAUGAUGUUGAACAAAAGGAAAGUGAAAAGUAAAUCUGAUGCACUGGAUAGAAUAGUACUUCAAAGCAAGAAAAGGAGAAUAAAGCCAGAUGAGAAUGGGAAAGAAAAUGGGUAGGAAAAACUCCCAUAAGCAGAAGCACUGUACAGAGGACAGGUUCUUUUUUAUUUAGCUUAUACCCUGAAGAAGAAAGAAGAGCAAAAGAAAGAGACAUCGGGUGAAGAAUGAAGUGUAGAUGAAGGAGAGCCCUCUCCAAUCAGAAAUAUCUGAGCGCUGAAGCUGAACUUCUCAGUAAGGGGAGUGCAAGUUUGAAAUAGAAAAAGACUAGGAAAAAUGUUUGAGGCAAACACAAAUACAAGCUUUUGCAUAGCUUGCAUAUGACAUUAUCUCAUACAAUUGUUCUCAGUCAGAAUACCACAAUAGAGACAGAACCACCAACCCAAAGCCUGGCCCAAAGGGGUUUCCAGAAGGAGGUCUGCUGGAAGCAUUCACAUCAGCAGCCAUUCAGUGUUGCACCCAUAUUCACAAAACCCUUAUUUACAGGCUUAUCUGGUACUAAAUACUUUAGGACUCUGUAUGGGACUUAAGAGGUAACUUGAAGUUUAACACAACUGCUUGUCGAAGUAGUUGCAGCCUUCAGAACAGGAUGAAGUCCUCUGGUAUAACAUAUAGAAUAGUAUCCACAUUUCAUCUGGUAUCAAAAGCUGCUCUAAGAUGUUUAGAAAUAGAAUAUAUACUGUGAUGUGUGAAAUAGUUGGUGAGAAAAUGAAGCAAGAGAAAAAGAAUUACGUCCAAAAAAUAUGAAUGC